rnacentral:rRNA from 1 species
AAUCCGGGCCGUAAAGUGGAGGUUCCUAUGGGGCCUUUUUUGGUAACCAAAAUUGGGAAUGGGGGAUGAACCAAAAGCCGGUUUAAGGGGCCCAAUUCGCCCUUCUCCAAAUCCCAUAAAAGGUGUUGUUUGAUACAAACAGCAGGACGGUGGCCAUGGAAGUCGAAAUCCGCUAAGGAGUGUGUAACAACUCACCUGCCGAAUCACUUAGCCCCGAAAAUGGAUGGCGCUCAAGUGCGUGACCUAUACUCGGCCGCGGGGACAAGAGGCCAGGUCCCCAGGUGACGAAGGGCGCGGAGUGUGGGCGC